UACGAAGGGGGCUAGCGUUGUUCGGAAUUACUGGGCGUAAAGCGCGUGUAGGCGGGUCUUUAAGUCAGGGGGGAAAUGCCAAGGCUCAACCUUGGAACUGCCUUUGAUACUGGAGAUCUUGAGUCCGGGAGAGGUGAGUGGAAUUGCGAGUGUAGAGGUGAAAUUCGUAGAUAUCGUAAGGAAGACCAGUGGCGAAGGCGGGUCUCUGGACAGUUCCUGACGCUGAGGCACGAAGGUCAGGGGAGCAAACGGG
rnacentral:rRNA from 1 species